rfam:Trichobilharzia regenti genome assembly, scaffold: TRE_scaffold0038516
GUACCGAUGAAGAGUCCCAAACUAGGAUGAAACAGCUGUCCAGUAC